rnacentral:rRNA from 1 species
UUAUGUGAUCGUCUCUCGCAUAUCAAUAAGCGGAGGAAAAGAAACUAACAAGGAUUCCCCUAGUAACGGCGAGUGAAGCGGGAAGAGCUCAAAUUUGAAAUCUUAAAGGGUUUCCCUUUACGAAUUGUAGUUUAAAGAAGUGUUUUCUGUUGAGGUUUUGGUAAAAGUUCUUUGGAAUAGGACAUCAUAGAGGGUGAGAAUCCCGUAUUUGACCUUUACUUUCAACUUUGUGAUACACUUUCAAAGAGUCGGAUUGUUUGGGAAUGCAGUCCAAAAUGGGUGGUAAAUUUCAUCUAAAGCUAAAUAUUGGCGAGAGACCGAUAGCGAACAAGUACCGUGAGGGAAAGAUGAAAAGAACUUUGAAAAGAGAGUUAAACAGUACGUGAAAUUGUCAAAAGGGAAGCGUUUGACACCAGUGUUGUUUUUCUGAAAAUCAAUUAAAGAACUGUUUAUGCUAAGUUGUUUAGACUUUAUCAGCUAACUGUUUAGUUUUGAGCUUUUCUUUAAUGCACUUUUCAGUUAACAAGUCAACAUCAAUUUCUUUUGCUGUAAAAAAGCUUGAGGAAGGUGGCUUGAGAUUCGUCUUAAGUGUUUAUAGCCUCUUGCCUAUGCAGUCGGAGAGAUUGAGGUCUGCAGCGUAGAUCCUUCGGGGCUAAAUGCAUUUGUGCUAAGUUAUAGCAUUUUAUAGACAACUUGUUGACUAUGAUUUGUCUUGUAGCUUACUCGCUUAUGUUAUUUUACCUACGCUUAGGAUGUUGAAGACUCUACAGAGAUA